rnacentral:rRNA from 1 species
GACGAACGCUGGCGGCGUGCUUAACACAUGCAAGUCGAACGAAGAUAUGUUGAAAGCUUGCUGAUACAUAUUUUAGUGGCGGACGGGUGAGUAACGCGUGAGGACUUGUCUAGUACAGGGGGACAACAGUUGGAAACGGCUGCUAAUACCCCAUAAGCCUAAGGGUAAAAGGAGCAAUCCGGUACAUGAGAGACUCGCGUCCUAUCAGCUAGUAGGUGGGGUAACGGCCCACCUAGGCGAAGACGGGUAGCCGGCCUGAGAGGGCGAACGGCCACACUGGAACUGAGACACGGUCCAGACUCCUACGGGAGGCAGCAGUGGGGAAUAUUGGGCAAUGGAGGGAACUCUGACCCAGCGACGCCGCGUGAGUGAAGAAAUCCCUCGGGAUGUAAAGCUCUGUUGUGUGGAAGAUAAUGACGGUACCACACGAGGAAGCCCCGGCAAACUACGUGCCAGCAGCCGCAGUAACAC